rnacentral:misc_RNA from 2 species
AACGCACAUUGCGCCCUUUGGCAUUCCGAGGGGCAUGCCUGUUCGAGCGUCAUUAACAACCAUCAAGCCUGGCUUGCCGUUGAGCCCCGCCCGUGACAGGGCGGGCUCGAAAGACAGCGACGGCGUCGGUCGGACCCUAGAUGCAACGAGCUCUGAGUAGCACGCAUCGACCUGGCCGGCCGCGCCCGUCCCACCCCUUUUUAUCUCAGGUUGACCUCGGAUCAGGUAGGAAUACCCGCUGAACUUAA